rnacentral:tRNA from 1 species
GGUGAUGGGCUGUGGCUCAGUGGUAAAGCAUCUUCUUGGUGUACAGAAACUCACAGGUUCAAUCCCUGGCAUCUCUA